AAUAUUGGACAAUGGGGGCAACCCUGAUCCAGCCAUGCCGCGUGUGUGAAGAAGGUCUUCGGAUUGUAAAACUCUGUCAUUGGGGAAGAAUAAAUGACGGUACCCAAUGAGGAAGCACCGGCUAACUCUGUGCCAGCAGCCGCGGUAAUACAGAGGGUGCAAGCGUUAAUCGGAAUUACUGGGCGUAAAGCGCGCGUAGGUGGUUCAGUAAGAUGGGUGUGAAAUCCCCGGGCUUAACCUGGGAACUGCUUUCAUAACUGCUGAGCUAGAGUACGGUAGAGGGUAGUGGAAUUUCCUGUGUAGCGGUGAAAUGCGUAGAUAUAGGAAGGAACAUCAGUGGCGAAGGCGACCACCUGGGCUAAUACUGACACUGAGGUGCGAAAGCGUGGGGAGCAAACA
rnacentral:rRNA from 1 species